UACGAAGGGGGCUAGCGUUGCUCGGAAUCACUGGGCGUAAAGCGCACGUAGGCGGAUUCCUAAGUCGGUGGUGAAAUCCUGGAGCUCAACUCCAGAACUGCCUUUGAUACUGGCGAUCUUGAGUCCGGGAGAGGUGAGUGGAACUGCGAGUGUAGAGGUGAAAUUCGUAGAUAUUCGCAAGAACACCAGUGGCGAAGGCGGCUCACUGGCCCGGUACUGACGCCGAGGUGCGAAAGCGUGGGGAGCAAACAGG
rnacentral:rRNA from 1 species